UUAGUACUUAACUUUAAGCUUGCUUAAUUAGAUGUUAAAACUAGUUUAGUGCUAAUCAUGUUUAAUUAUGAAUUAAACUUUGAUUAAGGUUAAGUGGGAUUAGUUAAUGACCUAAGCAUGCUUAUUAGGUUCUUAGGGACUAAUUAGGGUUAUGAAAACCUAAAGGACUAAUGGGCAAUUAUGGGUUUUAUUUUUUUUAUAACUUGAAGGACUAAAGUGCAGUAUUUGAAAAUUAAGGUUAGUGGAAUGCCACCUCCUACUUGGGUGGAUUGGUGGCAGCCAUGUGGGCUGCCACCUCAUGCUUGGGUGCUUGGAGACCCUUUAUAAGGGGGGCUGCAGCUCGUUUUGCUCCAUUUCACCUGCAGCAACUUGGGUUAGAGAGAGAAACUAGAGAGAGAAAGUGUAGAUUUGAGGUAAGCAAGUGUUUAAUUUUGUAAUUUUCGUUUAUUUUGGUUCCUAAUGGCAUGUUGAAUAGAAUUAAUGGUAAAAAUUGUGUAAAAGUUGAGUAUAAUUAGCUAUAAACCUGUUUUAGUUAAAAAUCACAAUUAAUUAAAGAUUAAAGUAUUUUAUUAAUGGUAAGAUCAGCAUAAAUCUUUGUUUAAUUUGGUUUGAUUGAAAAAUAGAUUAGUAAACAUGUGAUGAAUUGGGUUAUUUGGACACUUGGGAUUUGAUAAUAGGUUAGGCUUUAAGAAAAUCAAAAGAAUUAGUGUUUGGUAAUUAAUUAGGGAAAUUAAUAUGCAUUGUAAAUAUUGUUUAAUUCAAUUCAAAUUUGAUCUGAAAACAUGUAGGAUAUAGAUUAGAGAAUGUGAGAAUUAAAAAUUUGCAACAAUAAACUAUAUAAAUUUUCAUGGUUAGGAAACCUAAAUUAUGUUGUUUCAUUUCAGUUCCUCGUAAUAGGCAAAGAUCGCCUACUUAGAAGAAACACAAAAAGGAAGUCGGUGUAAGAUGCAGGUCAGAAGACCUAUGCAGGAAAGAAUGCUUGAGCAAUGCUUUACUGUGAUUGGAUGCUGUUUGCUCAUAUUGAAAGUCUUUUGAGGCCAUGCCCUUUUGUAUCAAGACUACACCUUUUGUUGGAAUGAUGUAAUGUAUAUAUUUGUUAGAUACACUUGUAGUAUGGGCUACCCAUAGUAAACAAUGGGGUUUGGUAUAUGUAAUUAAUGUUGUACAAGUUUCUUUUGUGAAACAAAACAUAUUUUGUUAACUUAAUAGUCACAAUGUUUAAUACA